GACAGAGGGGCCAAGCGUUAGGCGGAAUUACUGGGCGUAAAGCGCUUGUAGGCGGCUAAGUAAGUCGGGCGUGAAAUCCCACGGCUCAACCGUGGAAGUGCACUCGAAACUGCGUAGCUAGAGUCCUGGAGAGGAAGGUGGAAUGCUUGGUGUAGAGGUGAAAUUCGUAGAUAUCAAGCGGAACACCGGUGGCGAAGGCGGCCUUCUGGACAGUGACUGACGCUGAGACGCGAAAGCGUGGGUAGCAAACAGG
rnacentral:rRNA from 1 species